GACGUAGGGGGCGAGCGUUGUCCGGAAUUACUGGGCGUAAAGAGCACGUAGGCGGGAACUUAAGUCAGAUGUGAAAGACCGGGGCUCAACUCCGGGGUUGCAUUUGAAACUAAGUUUCUUGAGGGCAGGAGAGGAAAGUGGAAUUCCUGGUGUAGCGGUGAAAUGCGUAGAAAUCAGGAGGAAUACCAGUGGCGAAGGCGGCUUUCUGGACUGACCCUGACGCUGAGGUGCGAAAGCGUGGGUAGCAAACAGGAUUAGAUACCCUGGUAGUCCACGCUGUAAACGAUGGAUACUAGGUGUGGGAGGUAUCGACCCCUUCCGUGCCGGAGCUAACGCAAUAAGUAUCCCGCCUGGGGAGUACGGUCGCAAGGCUGAA
rnacentral:rRNA from 1 species